AUGAAAAGAUAUACAACAUCUCUAGUCAUUAGGGAAAUGCAAAUCAAAACCACAAUGAGUCUCCUGCUGCAGUGACACGAGUGGGAGCACCUGGACCGCGGGCUUGGAGUGACAGUUCUUGGACUGCUUUAAGAAAUGGCAGACAAGCCCGACAUGGCGGAAAUUGCCGGCUUCGAUAAGGCCAAGCUGAAGACGAUGGAGACGCAGGAGAAGAACACCCUGCCAACCAAAGAGACCAUUGAGCAGGAGAAGCAAGCGAAGUGAAAUUUCCUAAGAACCUGGAGGAUUCUCCACCCCCAUCAUCUUGGAGACCUUAGUCAUGCUGUGGAGGAAGAGCCACCUGCAAGAUGGACACGAGCAACAAGCUGCACUGUGAACCUGGGCACUCCGUGCCAAUGCCACUGGCCCGUGGGUGUCUGAGGGGACCCUCCAAUCGGACUGCUAAAUUCUCGGUUUGCCCUGGGCUAUGAUAGAAAAUUAUUUGUAUGAUUAAUGAAAAUAAAACACACCUCGUGGCA